rnacentral:lncRNA from 1 species
UCUGCUCCAAUUCAACAUGGCCCUUCGUUUCUUUGUGCUUUGUUGUGUAUUUUUCACUUUUGUGGCACUAUACGAAGGUAUGUUAGGUCUUCCAUUCUGAGGUCCAUUUUAGUAAGAGUUAGAAUGCUUUGCAGAAAUACAUAUUUUUAUAUGAGCUUCUUUAUAAUUUUAUGUUUUGGUUGAAUUUAAAAGCUUAUUUAGAGAAUAGAAUCAAAAUAAAAGUCUCCUUUUAGUCUUUCUGUAUUUUUAAAAAUGUUUAUGUCAUUGCUAGACUUAAAAAUAAAAAGAAACCCCUCAGUCAAAUGGUUUUAUGGGUCUUUACAAACUUGUUUUUAAUUUUACAAUCCUAUCUCUUUUUUAUACAUGGAAUAUUUACUUUUUACAUGUAAGAGAUCCAUCUUUUACGCAUAAGAGAUCUAAAAUAAAAGUUUUCUUAAUUUCAACAUUUUAUAUAUGGCCAUGAUAUCUUAUUUCCUCAGUCUUUCACAAUGCACGUUUUUGUUAUAAUUUUUGUUGUUUUUAUGAGCCGUUUAUAUAUUAAAGUUCUUUCACGUAAACAAACGAAUAGUUAGAGCUUAAUUCUUUAAUUUGGUUAUUUAAAUGAACUAUCAUUCUCACGUCUCAUCAAAUUUGAAUUACUGAAGAAGAAUGAGGAAAAAAAGGUCUCAGUCUCUGAUGGCCAUGAAUAUUAUCCUAUCUUGACUAACACGUACGAUUCUCCUGAUAUUUCUUGAUAAACUAAUCUCAAGCGAAUCUAAAGAAAAGGAAAUUCAUUUACUCGUACAUGUGUUUGGAUGGAAAUUAAAAAAGAAGGCUAAAAAGGGAACAACAUUCCUUCAAAAAUAUCUUUCCCAUUUGCUAUACAUACAACAACAACACAUAUCACAUUUUCUACUCUUACCUUUUAUUUUAUGUUAACAAUAUAGUCCCUUAGUAAUAAAUAAGGAUUUAUUGAAGUUAUAUAUACUUGUAAUUUUACGCAAUCAACAACAACAACAACACAGUAUAAUCUCAUUUAGUGGGGUCUGGAGAGGAUAGUGUGUACGCAGAUCUUACCCUACCCUGGGGUAGGGAGGUUGUUUACAAAUAUACCCUCGGUAUCCUUUCCUCCAAGAACUUCUCAUAUUGCUCUUGGGAGACUUGAACUCACAACCUCUCGGUUACGCAAUCAAUACAGUUUAAUAGCUAUUUUUAUCGAGUGACAGGGUCAACUUUUUUCUAAAAUGAAAUAUAAAUGACAUGGCAGGUGUAAAAGACCCAUGCAGACCUCAAGAUGGUCCGAUCCCAGUGAUUCCAAAGAGUAACUCUACUACUAAAGGAUGUGUACCCUUCAAUUAUAUGGGUUUAAAUUGUUCAUGCUGCUCUACUACUCCUGGAGUUGGUUGCUUUGAUACUUGGGCUGCUUGUCUUAACAGUAAAUGUCUUCCUACUGGUCCACCAGUUCAUGAACUCUCUUGAAGAUAAUAUAAUGUUUCCCUCUUUACUUUUACUUUUCUAGGGGAAUAUUUGAAAUUCAAAGAUUUACUUGUAUUGGAAUAUAGAAAUUUUGUUGCUUGAGUAUACGUACGUAAGGAAAAGACAAGUGGCAG